UACAGAGGUCUCAAGCGUUGUUCGGAUUCAUUGGGCGUAAAGGGUGCGUAGGUGGCGCCGUAAGUCAGGUGUGAAAUUUCGGAGCUUAACUCCGAAACUGCAUUUGAUACUGCGGUGCUUGAGGACUGGAGAGGAGACUGGAAUUCACGGUGUAGCAGUGAAAUGCGUAGAUAUCGUGAGGAAGACCAGUGGCGAAGGCGGGUCUCUGGACAGUUCCUGACACUGAGGCACGAAGGCCGGGGGAGCAAACGGG
rnacentral:rRNA from 1 species